rnacentral:rRNA from 1 species
CAGUAGCCGCGGUAAUACGAAGGGGGCUAGCGUUGCUCGGAAUGACUGGGCGUAAAGGGCGCGUAGGCGGAUGGCACAGUCAGAUGUGAAAUUCCCGGGCUUAACCUGGGGGCUGCAUUUGAUACGUGUUGUCUAGAGUGAGGAAGAGGGUUGUGGAAUUCCCAGUGUAGAGGUGAAAUUCGUAGAUAUUGGGAAGAACACCGGUGGCGAAGGCGGCAACCUGGUCCUUGACUGACGCUGAGGCGCGAAAGCGUGGGGAGCAAACAGGAUUAGAUACCCGGGUAGUCCCUGUCUCUUAUAA